rnacentral:rRNA from 1 species
ACGAACGCUGGCGGCGUGCUUAACACAUGCAAGUCGAACGGAAAGGCCCUGCUUUUGUGGGGUUCUCGAGUGGCGAACGGGUUAGUAACACGUGAGUAACCUUCCCUUGACUUUUGGAUAACUUCAGGAAACUGGGGCUAAUACCGGAUAGGAGCUCCUGCUGCAUGGUGGGGGUUGGAAAGUUUCGGCGGUUGGGGAUGGACUCGCGGCUUAUCAGCUUGUUGGUGGGGUAGUGGCUUACCAAGGCUUUGACGGGUAGCCGGCCUGAGAGGGUGACCGGCAACAUUGGGACUGAGAUACGGCCCAGACUCCAACGGGAGGAAGCAGUGGGGAAUAUUGCACAAUGGGCGGAAGCCAGAUGCAGCAACGCCGCGUGCGGGAUGACGGCCUUCGGGUUGUAAACCGCUUUCGCCUGUGACGAAGCGUGAGUGACGGUAAUGGGUAAAGAAGCACCGGCUAACUACGUG